UGAGGAAGGGGCCAGCCAUCCCCCUCCAGCUUCCACACACAGGACAGGCAACCCAGACUAGCUGAAACAGCAAUGUCCUAAGGGAGGGAAACGCACCAGGAAAAUCAACCACUACCACCAGCCAACUCAACCAUGACCUCCCCCUUAAAUCUUACGGACACAGCAGAGGGCCCUGAACCCAAGGGCUUUGGGAACAGCCACGAUUCCAGCCUAGGGCUUGCAACCAUCAUCCUGGGAAGCAAUCCCAGUGGAGAUGCAGCCUGACAAUUGCCCCUACACGUACAGAGCCCCAGCUACUGAAGACCCAGAAAAGAAAGUUCCCUGGCCACGACAAAUGAUUCAACAUCAGAAAGUGAAACGAUUUUAUCAGUGCAAAUGACAUUAAAGAAGAGGCAUUUUCUUUGCUUCUGCACCAUAAAGACUACUGGACUUUUCCAACCGACUGCAGCUGAAACCUUCCAUACAUGUUGUCUCCCUUACUGGAAUGUGAGGUAUUUGCUGUAUGUCUCAAGCAUCAGAAUAUGAUUUGGGUUUACCAGGCUGGCCACCCCGGAGCCUACGAUUCAGGCCUAGCCACCAGCAGCAUCCGGCUGAUGCCCAAAUGGAUAAGUCACGAGUCAAGGAUUUCCCUCGUGUGGUUAACUGAAUCAAAGCACAUACUGUACAGGACCCAGUCAAUUAUGCUUUGCGACAAGAAUAAACUACUGAAACAA